AUUGAACGCUGGCGGCAGGCCUAACACAUGCAAGUCGAACGAGUGGCGGACGGGUGAGUAAUGUCUGGGAAACUGCCUGAUGGAGGGGGAUAACUACUGGAAACGGUAGCUAAUACCGCAUACCAUCAGAUGUGCCCAGAUGGGAUUAGCUAGUUGGUGGGGAAACGGCUCACCAAGGCGACGAUCCCUAGCUGGUCUGAGAGGAUGACCAGCCACACUGGAACGGCGACAGGGUCCAGACUCCUAGGGGGGGAAGAAGUGGGGAAUAUUGCACAAGGGGCGAAGGCCUGAUGCAGCAAUGCCGGGUGUAUGAAGAGGGCCUUCGGGUUGUAAAGUACUUUCAGCGGGGAGGCGUUACCCGCAGAAGAAGCACCGGCUAACUCCGUGCCAGCAGCCGCGGUAAUA
rnacentral:rRNA from 1 species